rnacentral:misc_RNA from 1 species
UACUCUCAACCCCUGGGGUCUUUUAAACGGACCACCUCGGGCUUGGAUCACGGACGCUGCCGUCCCCCCUCGGGGGUGUGGCUCGUCUGGAAUACAUGAGCUGACCUGUCUGCGAACAGCACGGUUUGACUCGGCGUAAUAAAUCCAUUUUUCGUCGGGGACACCCUUCGCGGGGCGGCCGGGCUCGCGGUCUUCGGGUUGCUUACAAUCGAAUAGUCCCAUCUAU